UGGGGAAUCUUGCGCAAUGGGGGAAACCCUGACGCAGCGACGCCGCGUUCGGGAUGAAGGCCUUCGGGUUGUAAACCGCUUUCAGCAGGGACGAGGCCUUAUGGUGACGGUACCUGCAGAAGAAGCUCCGGCUAAAUACGUGCCAGCAGCCGCGGUAAUACGUAUGGAGCAAGCGUUAUCCGGAUUCAUUGGGCGUAAAGCGCUCGUAGGCGGUCUGUUAGGUCGGCAAGUUAAAUCCGGGGGCUCAACCCCCGUCCGCUUCCGAUACCGGCAGACUUGAGUUUGGUAGGGGAAGGUGGAAUUCCUAGUGUAGCGGUGGAAUGCGCAGAUAUUAGGAAGAACACCGGUGGCGAAGGCGGCCUUCUGGGCCAUAACUGACGCUGAGGAGCGAAAGCUAGGGGAGCGAACAGG
rnacentral:rRNA from 1 species